CAGGAAUUCUAAGGGGAUAAGCUUCUCUGGAAGAGUUUUACUGCGUUGACUGCGAUCAUGAUAGAGGGAUUUGAGGUAAACUGGGUGAGAGAGGAACCUCAACAACCACCCCACUAGAAAGGAGGUUUGUUAUUCCCAGAUAUUUGAUUCCCAAAAAUGUUCUAUAAAUAUGUAUUUUAAAACAUAUAUGACAUUAUAUAUACAAACCAAAUAGUGUG